GGGGAAAGAGCUAUCCAGUGCCGCCCAAACCUCAUUAUUGCAUUCAAAACUGCCUUCAGUAAAGAAAGAUUGAGGGAGGAAGGGAAUAAUGGGAAACCUU
rnacentral:pre_miRNA from 1 species